GAUGAAUGCUGGCGGCGCGCCUAACACAUGCAAGUCGAGCGGAAAGGCCCUUCGGGGUACUCGAGCGGCGGACGGCUGAGUAACGCGUGGGAACAUGCCCCAAAGUGAGGAAUAACUGCCCGAAGGGGUAGCUAAUGCCGUAUAUGAUCUUCGGAUUAAAGGAUUUAUCCGCUUUGGGUGUGGCCCGCGUACGAUUAGGUAGUUGGUGAGGUAAAGGCUCACCAAGCCUACGAUCGUUAACUGGUCUGAGAGGAUGAUCAGUCAGACUGGAACUGAGACACGGUCCAGACUCCUACGGGAGGCAGCAGUGAGGAAUCUUCCACAAUGGGCGAAAGCCUGAUGGAGCGACGCCGCGUGCAGGAUGAAGGCCUUCGGGUUGUAAACUGCUUUUAUAAGUGAAGAAUAUGACGGUAACUUAUGAAUAAGCACCGGCUAACUACGUGCCAGCAGCCGCCGUA
rnacentral:rRNA from 1 species